GGCGUAGGCGGCCUGUCAAGUCCGAUGUGAAAUCUCCUGGCUUAACUGGGAGGGUGCAUCGGAUACUGAUGGGCUGGAGUGCCGCAGAGGGAGAUGGAAUUCCCAGUGUAGUGGUGAAAUGCGUAGAUAUCGGGAGGAACACUAGUGGCGAAGGCGGUCUCCUGGGCGGUAACUGACGCUGAGGUCCGAAGGCGCGGGGAGCAAACAGGAUCAGAUACCCUGGUAGUCCGCGCAGUAAACGAUGGAUACUAGGUAUGGGAAGUAUCGACCCUUUCCGUGCCGAAGCUAACGCUUUAAGUAUCCCGCCUGGGGAGUACGGUCGCAAGACUAAA
rnacentral:rRNA from 1 species